rnacentral:rRNA from 1 species
GUGCCUUCGGGAACUGUGAGACAGGUGCUGCAUGGCUGUCGUCAGCUCGUGUUGUGAAAUGUUGGGUUAAGUCCCGCAACGAGCGCAACCCUUAUCCUUUGUUGCCAGCGGUCCGGCCGGGAACUCAAAGGAGACUGCCAGUGAUAAACUGGAGGAAGGUGGGGAUGACGUCAAGUCAUCAUGGCCCUUACGACCAGGGCUACACACGUGCUACAAUGGCGCAUACAAAGAGAAGCGACCUCGCGAGAGCAAGCGGACCUCAUAAAGUGCGUCGUAGUCCGGAUUGGAGUCUGCAACUCGACUCCAUGAAGUCGGAAUCGCUAGUAAUCGUGGAUCAGAAUGCCACGGUGAAUACGUUCCCGGGCCUUGUACACACCGCCCGUCACACCAUGGGAGUGGGUUGCAAAAGAAGUAGGUAGCUUAACCUUCGGGAGGGCGCUUACCACUUUGUGAUUCAUGACUGGGGUGAAGUCGUAACAAGGUAACCGUAGGGGAACCUGCGGUUGGAUCACCUCCUUA